rnacentral:rRNA from 1 species
UGAGGAAUAUUGGUCAAUGGACGAGAGUCUGAACCAGCCAAGUAGCGUGAAGGAUGACUGCCCUAUGGGUUGUAAACUUCUUUUAUACGGGAAUAAAGUGAGGCACGCGUGCCUUUUUGUAUGUACCGUAUGAAUAAGGAUCGGCUAA